UGAAAGUGAAAAUGAGGAGAAG
rnacentral:piRNA from 1 species